rnacentral:rRNA from 1 species
GAGCUCAAAUUUAUAAUCUGGCACCUUCGGUGUCCGAGUUGUAAUCUCUAGAAAUGUUUUCCGCGUUGGACCGCACACAAGUCUGUUGGAAUACAGCGGCAUAGUGGUGAGACCCCCGUAUAUGGUGCGGACGCCCAGCGCUUUGUGAUACAUUUUCGAAGAGUCGAGUUGUUUGGGAAUGCAGCUCAAAUUGGGUGGUAAAUUCCAUCUAAAGCUAAAUAUUGGCGAGAGACCGAUAGCGAACAAGUACCGUGAGGGAAAGAUGAAAAGCACUUUGGAAAGAGAGUUAACAGUACGUGAAAUUGUUGGAAGGGAAACGCUUGAAGUCAGACUUGCUUGCCGAGCAAUCGGUUUGCAGGCCAGCAUCAGUUUUCCGGGAUGGAUAAUGGUAGAGAGAAGGUAGCAGUUUCGGCUGUGUUAUAGCUCUCUGCUGGAUACAUCUUGGGGGACUGAGGAACGCAGUGUGCCUUUGGCGGGGGUUUCGACCUCUUCACACUUAGGAUGCUGGUGGAAUGGCUUUAAACGACCCGUCUU